GUGUGGUGUGAGCAGAAGGUUGAAGAAAACAUCUCUCAAUAGAAGAAAAGAGAAGAUAGAGAACAGUUGCAAUGUUGGGUCCCUCUGGCCACCUUGUGGUGGGAUUGGGCUUAGGCCAGGAUUAGUGGGAAGAAUCCUCACCUCCUGCAGCGUUCUGUGAUGGUUUCACAAAUGUGGAGUAGGUCUGGCCCUGCUUAGCUUGUCCUGACCACUAAAACUAGAACCCAGGUCAUGAACAUCUGCCUCUGAAAAGCACUUGGCAUUGGGCACAAGCAGGAAGGAUAAUAUCUCAAGGCAGCGCAUAACUCCUGUGCUGCUGCUGCUCCAGCACGGCUGUUUCUUUCUUUCUCCUGAGGUGCUGUGACUGACAGGGAUGUGCUGUUGCUGACAACAGCAACCAGUUAGCUGCAGGGACUCUUCUUUAAUGAACAGCUUGCCACAGAUGCAGCCAUCAGUUAGAUUGCUAGAGGCCACAUAUUUGUGUUCAGGGAGAGUAAUAAAGUAGGUUUUAUUUGACUUGUAUAAAUCUACUUUAAUGGGCUUUCUUGCUACCACUUACUUUCAUUACCAUUUAAAUUAGCUGUCCUAGAGCUGUUAAUUGUCUUUGCAGGUGGAUAUGGUCAUAUAAUGUACUUUCUUUUUUACUGCUCUUGAUGUUUUAUACUGACACGUGUUCAUAAAUAAUCGUCAUAUUUUUUGAAGAGUCCAAGACUGUGUGUGAGGAACUGACCAGCUGCUGCUUCACCAACCUGUUCCCAUGUGUCUGGCAGAUGAGGGAGCAGAGGAGGAGGGUGCACAGAGAGAGGGAGGAACCUCUUACCGGAUGCUUUGUGUUCAACCUUGUGCUCGUGGCAGUGAGGCAGCAGGCUGGUGAAGUCGGAAGGCAGCUGAAUUGUGGCUUCCAGGCAGCUGAGAACAAGUCAGUCAGAAAACCUUCCUGUAGGAAGUAGGAAAAAAAAAAAAUCAAGACCUUUUGUUAUUAAAUCAACAAGUUACUGCAACAAGAUGGCAAACAAAUGGCAUCUGUGCUACACAGCGGUACUACACAGGCCAGGUGAGAGCCUGCACAGUUGCAGCCAAGCACUACUGAAUCCUCACUGAAAUCAUGGCCGCCUGAGAAGUGUGACUGCUGGCUUGCUGGCAAAUGAGCAAUGGCUCCAUGAAGAUCACAGCUGCUCUGAGCUGAGCAGCACUGCUCCAUGAGCUCACCAGGGUAAGUGACAUAUAGACUCACCUGAAACAUGGGCCUGGCAGACUGGUGGAAAAUGUCAGGGAAGAGCAGAGCAGGCACACAGGAGUGCUUGCCUGGGGUUUCAGCAACAACUGGGGUGAUGCUUCCCCUGCUAGGUUACCAUGUUCUGAACCACAGAACAUGAUCUUUUCUUUUAAACCUUUUGCUUGCAAGAACCUACACUGAACAGUUUACUGUGUACAGCCCUACACUGUGUGCUGGGACUGCCUCCUAGGGAUACUCCCUGUAUAGAUGCUCAGUGCACCCAAGCAGCAGGCUUAUGCAUGCUUCUUAGAGUUCUCUAGUCUUCGAUGCAGUUGCCUGCAUCCUGCCCCUAGGAGCCCACCAGUUUGAUGUCCAAGCUGAGCUCCUUACUGGGCUGUGAGAGAGCCUGGAUCUCUACGGGAUGAUUCUGCUAUCCCCAGUUGUGUGUCCUGUGGCUUAGCUUCAGGGCCUGAUGGCCUGAGUUGCACUGG
ensembl:lncRNA